rnacentral:rRNA from 1 species
GACGAACGCUGGCGGCGUGCUUAACACAUGCAAGUCGAACGGAAAGGCCCUGCUUUUGUGGGGUGCUCGAGUGGCGAACGGGUGAGUAACACGUGAGUAACCUGCCCUUGACUUUGGGAUAACUUCAGGAAACUGGGGUUAAUACCGGAUAGGAGCUCCUGCUGCAUGGUGGGGGUUGGAAAGUUUCGGCGGUUGGGGAUGGACUGGCGGCUGAUCAGCUUGUUGGUGGGGUAGUGGCUUACCAAGGCUUUGACGGGUAGCCGGCCUGGGAGGGUGACCGGCCACAUGGGGACUGAGGUACGGCCCAGACUCCAACGGGAGGCAGCGGGGGGGAAUAUUGCACAAUGGGCGGAAGCCUGAGGCAGCAACGCCGCGUGCGGAAUGACGGCUUUCGGGUUGUAAACCGCUUUCGCCUGUGACGAAGCGUGAGUGACGGUAACGGGUAAAGAAGCACCGGCUAACUACGUG